rnacentral:rRNA from 1 species
GACGAACGCUGGCGGCACGCUUAACACAUGCAAGUCGAACGGAGUUUUUUAACGGAAGUCUUCGGACGGAAGGUAAAAGACUUAGUGGCGGACGGGUGAGUAACACGUGAGUAAUCUGCCUUACAGAGGGGGAUAACGUUCUGAAAAGAACGCUAAUACCGCAUAAGCCAACGAAAUCGCAUGGUUUAGUUGGAAAAGGAGCAAUCCGCUGUAAGAUGAGCUCGCGUCCGAUUAGCUAGUUGGCGGGGUAACAGCCCACCAAGGCGACGAUCAGUAGCCGGACUGAGAGGUUGACCGGCCACAUUGGGACUGAGAUACGGCCCAGACUCCUACGGGAGGCAGCAGUGGGGGAAUAUUGGGCAAUGGGCGCAAGCCUGACCCCAGCAACGCCGCGUGAAGGAAGAAGGCUUUCGGGUUGUAAACUUCUUUUACCUAGGGACGAAGACGUGACGGUACCGUGGAGAAAAAGGACCACGGCUAACUACGUG